AGUGCUCCUCGAUCAUCUUUCUAAGUACAAUUCAUCUUUCCCAUAGUCUGCCAAAGAUUAAAAGCCAUAGAAUCACAGUGGGAAACCAUAGGUCAGCUCUACUGAAUGAAAUGGUUCAUGGACCUCAUUGGUGCUGUGGUUAAAGAUCCUACCCUCACAGAGCAUACAGCAAGCUGGAAAUCAGACAAUUAGAUAGUUAAUUAUAAUACCAUGGUGCGUUAUAUAAUGGAAGCAAAGGUGCUGGGAUACACAUGUCCUAAGGUAGGGUUCAAUCUACUUCAGGGUCUUUUGGAAAUGAUGUUUAUUCAGGGAUUGAGAUCAGUAGCAGUGGGAGUAACUACUUAUGCAAAGUCCCCAAGGAGACUUUAGAGUAGCUAGAAGAAUGAAGGAGCUGAAAGAAGCUCAAUAAUCUUGAAGAUAGAAAUAUAUGCAGUCAUUUGCAUCUCUUGAUACUCUACUGUACUUGCUUUGAGGGCGAGUACAAUUCUCCAGUCACAGACUGCUCUGAAUAGGCAAUCUAUUCUGACUUUAGCACUGUGGCAACAGUUUCAAAAUAUCUUUCAUCUCAGUUUCUUAACAUGAAUUUGAGUACACUAUUUUGUAUUUCAUUCAACAGAAGAGUAGUGUAGGUAAAGAAUAGCAUUUUAGCCCCCAACUUUUUAAAAUAUAUUUUAAACAUGAGCUACUUUAUUCUACUAAGAUAUGUCAAGAGAUGGGGAAAUUCAGCAAGUUCUAAAUCUAGUGGGAAAGUUUAUUGGGUUGGAAGUGGAGGAACACAUUAGAGGAGCAUCCAUCUACUAAAGUCAGAACAUCAGUGAUAAGCUGUAGCCCAAGAGCUCGUGCUUCAAAAUAGCUGGAUAAGUGUUAUGACAGGAGGGAAGAGAAAUAGGUAAAUUAGUGUAGCAUAUAUAUGUGUCUCAUGGUUACUCUCGUUGCCUGUUUACUAAACAAACAAAAAUCCCAUGAAUUCAUUGCUGCCUUUACAAAUAUCACAAUGAAUAAGACAAUUUUCACCAUCUUCAGCAAUUCCUGACAGUACAUUGUCUGCCACUGGGAGUCAUUCUUUGUUUUGAAUAGGUGGCUGACUUCCUCCCCAUAUUCAGCCAUCUCCCGUCUCCUCACUGGAUUUCAAUUUGAAUAGGAACUCUUGCCUGUGAAAAAAGUCACAAAAGAAGACCCUUGCUUCUAGGCCAACCAAAAUGUUUCUAGGGAAGACAGACAUAUAACUUAAUUAGAGGUAAUUCUAUAUUUAUAUUCUUAAUAACAAGAGAUAGUAGUCUUAUUUGAGUUACACUUAAUGCUGUACACCUAAAAAUCAUGGAAAUAAAAGAUUGAUGUAUCAUUAAUUAGGUCUUUAAGUCUUUUAGACAAUUAUGUUUGGAUUUCACAUUUAGAGGAGUGAGCAAGAGAGAAUGAACUUAUCUUUAGGCAGCCUAUAUAGCAUAUUAUUUUAGAGCAUUUAAUUUGAGGUCAGAGAUAGGAAUUGAGUAGAUUUGUCAUUGGUUCUUCAACUUUGGAAAGGUGAAAUUAACUUCUUAGUACUGUAUUUUGAUUUCUUCAUCUCUAAAAUAUGGAUAAUAGUUAUAAUGUUUUACUUUUUUUCUUUUCCUUUUUUCAAGGCUAAUCAACUGAAGCAGAAGGAGUGAAAAAAGAACAAAGAAAUCUGUGACUGGUUGUGAUCAAUUAGUAAACUUACUUUUUUAGAUUAAAAUGAAAUAAUACAUGCAAAGCCCUUGCACAGUGCCUUGCACAUAACACAUUUCGGGAUUAAGUUGUGCUAGUUAUUCCGUUAUUGAUUGUCUUGCCCUUUGUCCUCUGGAAGGUUGGAUCUUGCCAUUUGGGUAUGGCCAAUGGGAAGGCUGAGCAAGACAUCAGAGGGUGGGAGGAAAGGAGGUAUAUUUAUUUUCCUUACUCCUUCUCUGCUAGGCUUCAAUUUUGUCACUAGCUGCAUUCCUUUUUAUGACCACAACUCCAGUCUAAUGGCCACCCUCCCAUAGCUAGAGUUCAUAACAGACUAACACUGCCACCUCCUCAGGCCUAGGAAUGGUCAUGGUUUUUCUUCUCACUGUUGCUUCAGGUUCUUUUUUCCCACUGUUGCUUGCGCUAGAUGUUCCACCCUCUUUUCUUGUUCCUUUAAGGCCUCUCUAAACUGUCACUUUAUGAAACUGUCUUCAGUUAAAUUCUUUAUAUGUGGCAUUAGUUUAUGCUGAGACUUUGAUGUACAUAAAACAACAAUACUUUGUUUGGACAUCAGGAAGGACAUCUUUUUGAUGAAUCAUUUUAGUAAAUGUUGUAAGGAGCUAAUAUGAGACAUUCUAAAUCAAAUGGGAAGUUUAUUGAGAUGCUGGUGGUUUGCUGUUCUGAUGAUGUAAAUCCAGCUUUGAAGGCUGUAGAGUUUGUUUAGAUGGCAGAUGGUUGUAGGAAGGAAAGGUGGAGUUCUUUUCUUGAUGCAUAAAACAAGAUCAUAUCUUCAGUGGCAAAGUGAACAUGAGGAUUAUGGAGAAAGUAAAUAAAGGUGAUUGGCUAUAAUGGACACUUUAUGCUUAAGGGUUGUGGUAGGCAGAAUAAUGGUCUCCCAAAGAUAUCCAUGACCUAAUGCCUGGAACUUGUGAAUAUGUUAUCUUAGAUGGUAAAAGGGACUUGGAAGAUGUAAUUAAAUUAAAGAUCUUGAGAUGAUGAGAUUAUUCUGUUAGGUGCAUUGUAAUUACAAAGGAUCCUUAGGAAGGUAGUAGGGUCAGAGUCAGAGAAGGAGAUAUGAUGAUAAAGCAGAAUCACAGGGGAAGAGCUGAAGAUUCUACCCUGCUGGGUUGAAGACGGAGAAAGGGGCCACAGGCCAAGAAUGCAGGUGGUGGCCAGAGGCUGAUGAAAACAGAGAAACUGACUUUCCCCUAGAACCUCCAGAAGAAAUGCAGCCCUAGUGACAUCUUGAUUCUAGCCCAGUGAGAUUUCUGACCUACAGAAUUGUACAAUAGUAAAUUUAUGUUGUUUUAAGGUGGUGAUCUGUGGCAAGUUGUUACAACAGCAAUAAGAAACUGACAUAGGAGAUAGAGAAAGCGUGUUGGAUUAGGGCAGUUGAGAAUUUUGGAUAUUAUCUUAAAGCCAACAAAGAACCACCAAAGAUUUUUUACUAAAAACAGAUAUAAUGAAAAUGAUGUAUUAGUAGGGUAGACUGGAAGUUGGGUUCAGACUGAAGACAGAAAGAUAAGCUCUACAGUGGUGUGCAUGGAUAAGUACGGUGAUUAGUACCCAGGUAACAAAUGGACUCUGUUAAUUGAUAAGAAGUUUCCAAAUCUGAAAGAGAUUGCUAAAGAAGAGCCUACAGAAUAUAAUGACUGAUGGGGAAUCAGCAAAGGAAAGCAGUCCAAUUUCAGAUGCCUCAUGUGUUGUGAAAUGGGCAUAAAACACACAAGGGUUCUAAAUAUUUUAAGUCUCUUCCUGGAUUCACCAAUGUAUAUUUCACCAACAUAUAUAUGAAAUUGUAACUUGCUAAACUUCUCUGUUACAUCAAGUUUCACUCUUGUCUUUUUAGAGGAUAUGCAAACCUCAUUUCAUCAUUUCUACUCUAGAGACUGCUUAUUUGGUAGAAUGAAAUAGGUACAACUCAAAUAGUAAACUACUGUAUUCAGAUUUUGCACAAAAACAACAAAAUACAAUCUAAAAACAAUUCAGUUGGAGAAGACUCGUAGGUUAAGUAUGUGUAAAGAGUAGUGGCAGUAGCUGGUAAGUUAAACUACUCACUGGCUAUAAUGCUGUUCAGCAGUUACCACUGUUUGGAUUAUUGGACAUUUCCUGAGUAGUGGGAAAUGUUUGGAUGAAAAGCCAGUAGCUCAUUAUUAACUCUCUUUACAUCACCUCCCUUCUGAAAAAAGCUUUGCUUGCUGAUAAUCAACUUCUAAAUGAUCUUCAUAAAAGUUAACAAUGCUUGGACAUCUAAGGCAGGUCUAAACUGGCUGGCUCUACCUUGUUUUUAAUGGUAAAAAUGCUAAAUUAACUAGUACUAAUAACCAUGCCUGCAGUAAAAACACGGAACAAUUGAAUAUCAAUGAUAUGUUAAAGCCAGCUGUUAAUUAUCCCAUUAAAAAGAUGAUUUUCUUUCACACAGAGAUUCUAUCGAUACACUUUCCCCCCACCUCCUUCCAUUUUUCACCAUUUCAACUUCCCACCAUCCCAAUCAGUAACUGGUAAAAAAGAUCUGACCAUGAGUUAAUUAUUGGGAAAAUCUUAGAAAAUACUAUAUUUCAACCUUUUCCUAAAUUGGAUACAACUUUGCAUUUCCACUAUGUUUUUAAGUCCCCUCCUUAAAAAUACACAUUUAUGUACAAAUAACAAUAGUAUAUUUUGCAUCUUAAAAGUAGACUGCACUGUGAUAUUGACAGAGAAAAUGUUCACCAUUCCUUUCUACGUUUCAAAAUAUCCCUCCUCUUGGAUGCUGACAUAGAAACAUCAUUUUGGAACAAGUGGCAGUUUCGCCUUGCAUCCCUGUUUUUUCUUGUUCUGCAUGGGAAAAAAGUCUGAAUAGUAGACAGCAAGAAAAUUCAAUAAUGUCCACUCUGGAACAACCCGAGGGUAGGAAUUUUGCGUAUGUAUCAGGCGCCCUAUAAGCAUCACCCUCUCAUCCCAUGCCAUAAAAAAGGGUGGAGGGGAGGAAAUAUUCAGCGAAGUCCUAAAAUACAAUGUGUAUUGUAAAAACAACUUUAAUUUUAAAAGUCAAUUCUACUUUGUAAGUUUUCAGUGCUGCUUCACUCCUACUCCUAGGGUGAAGGACUUUGGAGAGACACCAAGACUAAUUCACAUCAAAACCAGAACGCGAAACUCCUGCCUGCUCCGUAGCCUGAUCUGAGUACCUGGAGUGCCCGAAAGUGGAAGGGCACUCUCUCCUAUCUGGCCCAUGGCUCUGAGGACCUCCCUCCCCGCUCCAAGCCCCAAGCCUGCGAAUCGGAGAUGCUCA